AGCUCCAAUAGCGUAUCUUAAAGUUGCUGCAGUUAAAAAGCUCGUAGUUGGAUCUCGGGAUCGAGCUGACGGUCCGCCGCGAGGCGAGCUACCGUCUGUCCCAGCCCCUGCCUCUCGGCGCCCCCUCGAUGCUCUUAGCUGAGUGUCCCGCGGGGUCCGAAGUGGGGCCAUGAUUAAGAGGGACGGCCGGGGGCAUUCGUAUUGUGCCGCUAGAGGUGAAAUUCUUGGACCGGCGCAAGACGGACGAAAGCGAAAGCAUUUGCCAAGAAUGUUUUCA
rnacentral:rRNA from 1 species